rnacentral:rRNA from 1 species
UCCGCAAUGGGCGAAAGCCUGACGGAGCGACACCGCGUGGUGGGAUGAAGGCCUUAGGGUCGUAAACACCUUUUCUAGGGGAAGAAGAUCUGACGGUACCCUAGGAAUAAGCCCCGGCUAAUUACGUGCCAGCAGCCGCGGUAAUACGUAAGGGGCAAGCGUUAUCCGGACAUUAUUGGGCGUAAAGCGUCCGCAGGCGGCAUAGGAAGUCUGUCAUUAAAUACCGAGGCUCAACUUCGGUGCUGUGAUGGAAACUCUUAUGCUAGAGGAUGGGAGAGGUAUGUGGAAUUCUGCAA